rnacentral:lncRNA from 13 species
GCCUAAAUAUGUCAGUUGUUUGUACCCAUUGAAGUUUAGAUUUGGAGGCUUGUAGCUUUGCUCAGUCAGCACCUUCAGAAGAAUUAGGAAGUCUAUAAGAACAUUCUGUUCAGUUUGGUUGCAAAGUAGGAGGUCAUCAACAAAUUGGAUAAGAGUUGAGUCCUGGAUAAUGAUUAUAGCAUCUCAAUCCAUUUGAAGACUUGGGAAAUAUUGAGGGUGACUUUGCAACUUUUACUGGUGUGAGAUUCUUGACUCUCCACAUAAUAGCAAUUAACACAAGGUCACACAAAUUUUUCCCAGAUAAGGUCUAUUAAAACUUAUGUCCAGAAAUGUUGGGCUUAAGGGAUAGAGUGCAGGACAAGUGUUCUCUGGCUGGCUCCCCAAGGGUGGGUCUUUGUGGUGUCUUCAGGAGCAUAACAUGAAUGAUCUAUUAGGUAAGCAAGCAUCAUUACAGGUGCAGAGUGGAGUGCUGAGUACACAGGCACAGUAAGAAAUCAUACUAACACAUAUAUUGCAUGAUCAGAAAAUGACAGAUAAGAUCCACCCUGAGCAAGGAUCGUGAUUUCACCCUGAGGGGAAGGUUACUGUCAGUCACCUUCCUGGUCUUGUGUGCCUGUGGGUGGUAGGGUCCACUGUCCUGGUUCUCCUGGCUGCUGCUGUGUGAAGAAGGACAUGUUUGCUUCCCCUUCUGCCAUGAUUGUAAGAUUCCUGAGGCUUCCCCAUCCCUGAAGAAUUGUAAGUCAAUUAAACGUCUUUCCUGGCUGGGCAUGGUGGCUCAUGCCUGUAAUCAUAGCACUUUGGGGGUCCUAAGUGGGCAGAUUGCCAGAGUUCAGGAGUUCGAGACCAGCCUGGGCAACAUGAAGAAACCCCAUCUCUAUUAAAAAUACAAAAAAAUUAGACAGCAUGUGCCUGUAGUCCUAGCUACUCAGGAGGCUAAAGAAUAAGAAUUGCUUGAACCUGGGAGGCAGAGGUUGCAGUGAGGCAAGAUUGCAUACUGCACUACAGCCUGAGUGACAGAGCAAGACUGUCUCAAAAAAAAUCCUUUUUCUUUUCUCAAUUACCCAGUCUUGGUUAUGUCUUUAUUAACAGCAUAAGAAUAUAUUAAUACCUUGUCCUUCCACUUACUCUAACUGGGGAUAUAAAACUAACAUAAAGAAAUUAUCUGAGACCUCUCAAGAGUGUAACUAGGCUUUAUUGAAAGAAAGAUACACUGAGAGUUGACUUUUUUUAUCCCCUUUGGUUGAAAGAUAAAUGUUUUAGAAUCUGACAGACUUCAAUUUGAAUCCUGGCUCUGAUAUUUAUUUGCUAUAUUAUCUUAAUCUCCAGGAAUCUUACCAGGUUCUCAAAGUGAAAAUCUAGGAAAUAUCUCCUUACAUCCUACCAUGGGAGGGCAAGAGUAAUCCUUUUAAAAUACAGAGAACAUCCCUUG